rnacentral:misc_RNA from 1 species
AAGAGUAAGGGUCUUCUAGGCCCGACCUCCCAACCCUUUGUUUACCAAACCAUCGUUGCUUCGGCGGGCCCGUCUCAGGACCGCCGGAGGACCGUCAGACGUCCUCUGGCCCGCGCCCGCCGAUAGCCCCUAUCAUUAAACUCUGAACAAACGUGUCCUGUCUGAGUGAUUAUUAUCAAAAUUAAAGCAA